rnacentral:rRNA from 1 species
UGGGGAAUAUUGCACAAUGGGCGAAAGCCUGAUGCAGCGACGCCGCGUGAGGGAUGACGGCCUUCGGGUUGUAAACCUCUUUCAGCAGGGAAGAAGCGAAAGUGACGGUACCUGCAGAAGAAGCACCGGCUAACUACGUGCCAGCAGCCGCGGUAAUACGUAGGGUGCGAGCGUUGUCCGGAAUUAUUGGGCGUAAAGAGCUUGUAGGUGGUUUGUCGCGUCUGCUGUGAAAAUCCGAGGCUCAACCUCGGACUUGCAGUGGGUACGGGCAGACUAGAGUGUGGUAGGCGAGACUGGAAUUCCUGGUGUAGCGGUGGAAUGCGCAGAUAUCAGGAGGAACACCGAUGGCGAAGGCAGGUCUCUGGGCCAUUACUGACACUGAGAAGCGAAAGCAUGGGGAGCGAACAGGAUUAGAUACCCUGGUAGUCCAUGCCGUAAACGUUGGGAACUAGGUGUGGGUCUCAUUCCACGAGAUCCGUGCCGCAGCUAACGCAUUAAGUUCCCCGCCUGGGGAGUACGGCCGCAAGGCUA